CCCCUGGAUGUUCUGGGCCGCACGCGCGCUACACUGAACAGUUCAACAAGUCUUAACCUUGGCCGAUAGGUCUGGGUAAUCUUUGAACGCUGUUCGUGAUUGGGAUAGACCUUUGCAAUUAUGGGUCUUCAACGAGGAAUUCCUAGUAAACGCAAGUCAUCAGCUUGCAUUGAUUACGUCCCUGCCCUUUGUACACACCGCCCGUCGCACCUACCGAUUGAAUGGUCCGGUGAAAUCUCGGGACGGCGGCUCGGUCGCUUGCGUCCGACUGCUGAAACUUGAUUAAACCAUAUCAUUUAGAGGAAGGUGAAGUCGUAACA
rnacentral:rRNA from 1 species